CGGGGUAAGAGGAGGGGGAGGGUGCGGAGCCCUGCCGGCGGCCGGAGGACCGGCGGGCGCUGACUGCGACCACCGCUCUCGGGCAGCGGACGCGCUGCUUUGGAAGAUGAGGUCAGCACCGCGGAGCUUUCCUGAAACACACCCCCCCCCCCCCCCCAAAAAAGAAAAAAACAAGCGCAGCCCGCCCCGCCCUGGCCUGGGCAGCAGCGGCGGCGGGGGCAGCAGCACGCCGGCUGGUGGGCGCGGGGCGCGAGGGGCGCUCCCCGUGGCCGCGGCCGCUCAGUCCGGGAUCUGGGCUCCGUCAGACUUCCGGGAGAGAGGAGGUUUUUCUUCUCCAAAAUCCACCAGACUCCUUUGAUGCGCUUUUGUUUUACAGUGGAAAACUACAAUAAAAAAAACAUAGCCAUGAAAAUAAGUGAGAUUAAAACCUGCCGGCUUCACUUCCUGGAGGCUUUUUGUUGGGUCUUGAAACUAGGAGUCUUUGCGGGUCAUCCUUAAAUUCACCUUGACAGAUUCAACCAAUGAGAAACUGAGUCUGCGUACAUUCCCUAAAGACAGGCGCUAUGGAAUGUCCGGAUUCCCUCCAUUCUGCAUUUGCCCAAGAUGCAGCAAGACAUAGGGGUGCCUGUGGUCUCAGGAAUUAAACAGACCUGGUUUGGAUUCCCACUAGGUACUUGCUGUGCAGUGUUAGGCAAGUUAUUUACUAUCCUUGAGCUUGUUUCCUUAAAAAUAGAUAUAAUAAAACUACCCCUUUGAAUUAUUGAAUAUUAAGUAGUUAUAUGUGAAAAGCAUGUUAAACAGUCCCUGGUCCACAGGAACCACCCAAAAUAUUAAUUUCUCAUGCCCGUGGGAUUUCAGUUACUAAUGCGGAUAUUUGAGAGAGAAUUCUUACUAGAUCUUUUUUCUCGUCUACGAAAUCCUACUUUAGUAGAAUCCAAACUUUGGUGUGUGUGAGACUUACCUGGAUACUUGAUUACAGUGCUAGUUUCUGGGUCCCUCUUCUAAGGUAUAGGAAGUCUCAAGUAGGGCCCUGGGGUUUGACAUUUUAACAUUUAAUUCUGGGGCACGAGUCCUCAGCCCUCACUCUGACAGUCCCCGUUCCGGACUUGGCCCUGGUCAUUCAAGGGAGUGAGGUGGAGACAGAGGAAGGCCUGAGCCGAGUCCCAGGCUGGUCCUGGCAGCUUGCUGAUCCCGAGGCUGGAUUGGAUGCCUCCCUGCAUCCCUAUGGCCAGCUCCUGGAUCCACAGGCAUUUACUGAGCACCUGCUGGAAAGUGCCCUGAGCGGGCGCCAGGCACGCAAGGUCAGGCCUGGCAUUUGGGUCCCAGUUUCUGCAUUUCCUACCGUCCAGCAUUUAAUACCGUCCCAAAUGGCUGUAUUCCCAAAGACACUCCUUGAUCUCAUCAGCGCCUCUCUCCCCCCAUCCCCCCACCCGGAACCAUGCUUUCCCAAGUCACACUGCAGCGACUUCUGCAUUACACAAGGACACUUAGCAUAGCACUGCUUAGGUGCUCAUUAGAUGUUUGUGGAAUUUAAUUUCCUUGGACAAAUAUGUCUUCUGAAACUUAGUUUAUGUUCAUUCACUCAUCAAAUAUUUAUAAGCCAGGAACUGUUCCAGAAGCUGGGGAUAACUGUCAUGAACAAAAUGUAACAUCUCUGCCCACGUGGAACUUCUAUUCCAGUUGGGGAAGAAAGGCCAUAUCCACAACCUACUCUGAAUUCUUGCAUAUUGGGUUGUUGUCUCUACCCGGACAUUUGCUGCAAUCUUGUUUGCUCUGACUGCUACCUCAGUUACCUGCCAAAUGGCCUUCUUUCCCAACCCUGGUCUACACAACCCUUACUCAGCGGCGAUUCUAUCUGAGGCCAAAGAGCAAACCGGUUAUCUUAUUGCAUCUUGAACCAGUGUCUGCAUAUCUCCUCUAGGCUUUAACCAAGAUCAGCCAUUCAUUUCCAAAUGC